CCUUCUCAUUCUCUCGUACGCGAAAUCUUUCUCCCUCAAAACCCUAAAACGAUUUCCUAAUUUUCUUAUUUUCUACUUUCACUUUCCCAAUUUCACUCUUUGCCCCGUGAAAUUCCUCACUCUUCAACAAUGUUUCCAUUUCAAGAUGCUUCUUCUACCCUAACCUCUUCGGCCACCGCUCUCUUUUCUUCUAGCUAUUGCUAUUGCGUGAGAUCUGGGUUAUGACCUCUUUCUCACUCAAAAAUCCUUCAAAUCUGCUGCACGUCGUAAAUCUUCUCCGCUGCAAGUCAUCCUCUUCAUUUUCGCGAUUGAAACCCUAACUCAUUGCCAAAUCGUGUUAUGUUCUGAAUCUCACUAAUCUCUCUCGUGUUCGUGUAGUGUUCUUCGUUUUCACGAUUGAAAACGAAGAGGUUUUCAGAGUAGUAGCAGGUUCUUCGUUCUUUACUUCCUAGGUUUGGGUCUUAAAAAGAUUUAACCUAUGUUUUGUUCCUUUGUUUGUGUUUCUGAGAUCUGGGUUAUGAAGAAACAGGAGAGAGAUUCUAGAUCUCGAAAUGAAUUUCAUUGAAUAUCUAAGGAUUGUUGGUUAUAAUGCAGUUAAUGAGUCCCUUUUAUAUGGGUUUCACUAUGGGUUUUGAAGAUUUUCACUUGAGGUUAGGUUUUGGCAAUGGUUGUGAUGAUAUUUGGGGUGUGGCUGAGCACUCGUCAUGAUGCCUGUGGGAAGUCUCUAACUAUACCUAUGCUAAGCAUUGAAGCUGUUAUUUUCUUAAUGUCAGUUUUUUUACAUUCUUUAUGUUUUGGAGCCUUAUUUUUCUUUUGAAUAUGUUCUUUUACUAUAUUAUCUUAUAUCACAUUUUUUGUUUUGCACACACAGAUUCAUAGUUGGUUUUUUGGGUACCAUGAAAAGAAGCUCCAUAUUGCUAUGGGUUGUAUCCUUGUCAAAUUUUAUAGAGAAUAAUUUUUUGACAUCAAAAUUUGAGGUCAAAUUCAGUGUCCUUAAAUUUUUUGUGUAGUUUUGAAAUGUGUGUAAGUUGUAGAACAUCUUUGUAAGAAAGAGAUAGAGGUAAACACAUACGGUGUCAUAUACGAUGUCUCUAUAUUGAUGUUCAAAUAACACGACUGAUUUUGGAUUAAGGGAAUCCUCCUUGACGUUGCACUUGUAGUAUCUGGUCAUGUUGUUCUUUAUCUUGGUGGGAAUCCUGGUCUUCACAGUAUUGGUGUAAGUGUUGAAUUUUGUUGACAGUUAUUGCCGCUUUGACGUUAUCUUUUCUUGUGAUUGCUUAUUGCCUUUGCCAUGAAAUCAUGAGUUGAGUCUUAAUAACACAAAGUCACAUUCGAAACGCCAGACCAACUUAAUUGCUACUGGUUUGAUCAUUUUUUUGAUUUACUUUGAUUUUGGAUGCUUGUUUCGAUCCUUGUGUAAUCUUCUGCCAUUGUUUCAGAUUCAUUGUAACUAAUAAUGGAUCAGGUCAUAGUGUGACUGGCUUGAGGUAAGGAGUCAAUUAUUUCAUUCAUGUAAACAAUGUAUGCUUAGGUACAAGGAAUUUCAACUUCAAGAUUAUAGCUCUUGGUUUCUCAAAGAGGGACUUGGGUCGUAUCGUGAUACGGGAUUUUUGCUUUAUGGGCCUCCAAGUUGUGGCAGAACACAGAUUGCCAAAACUGUUACUAGUGAGGCGGGAGCUAAUUUUAUUUAUAUUAAGGUGAUGAUGUAGUACACUGCAAGUAUGGAGAGAAAUCUGCACAAUCCUUAAGCUCAGCAGGAUUUCGAUAUGUUGCAUUCAAAUCCUAUGAAGGGAUUGGUCAUUACACAGUUCCAAGAGAGAUGGGUGAAGUUUCCACCUGGCUUAGUUCAAGAUAAGCUUGCAGAAUAUGGUAAGAGGCCUAUGGAGUAGUAGAUGAUGAUGUGCUUGCAGUGCUCCUUAAUUUCACAUGUUUUGUAUUUUGUAUCAUGACUUGUGACAAUUAUGUAUUAAGACUAUGGUAUCAGUACUAUUUCAAUGUUAAGUACCUUGAAUGCA